AAACCAUGGUGAGGACAUUUAAGAAGCAAGUCCUUCCAUCUUUCCCAACAUUCAUGAAAGUGCUCGCCCUCUUUUUGUGUGAAGUUAGUAAUUUCUCUACAAAAGGCAU